ACGAGCACCUGAAUAACUGUGGUGAGUUUCGUGCUGUGAGGGAUAUCUCUGUGGCGCCACUCAAUGCCGAUGACCAGACGCUGCUGGAGCAGAUGAUGGACCAGGAUGACGGUGUGCGAAACCGCUCGGGCAAAAAGACCUGGAAGAGGUCCUACAGCCUGUCGCUCCGACGCCCCCUACUGUCCUCAUCACAAUCGAGAAAGGACACAAAGGUGCUAAUUGAAGACACGGAUGAUGAGGCUUUCAGCUGAGUCCACAACGUCAGCACGCACACACAGAACAUACUAUACUUAUAAGGAUCUCAUUCACUAACACCCAACCUCAACCCUUCUCCCUUAUAGAUAUAAGCGUAGUAACCUUCAGUCUAAACCUUUAAAGCAGUGAGGACCUCCGGCUGCCCUCACUUUGGACAAUUUACCUCAUAUACAUGUGAGUAUAUUUGGUCUUUAUAAGUAUAGAAACACACACAGACACACGAUACACACUGUAAUGCAGAAACACAUAAAGAUAAACCUGCUGAAGCACAAGAAUAGUAUAGUAUUGCUACUGUUGAGGAGAGCGCUAAUGCCACACACACACAGAUAGACACACAGACAGACAUCAAGGGAAAUCUUCUGCACAUUAAUGGAAACACCGACCACACUGCCCUGGGAUUAUUAUCCUCUUCUUUUUUUUAAAAGAACUUCUUAUGUUGAGAUAUUUGUGUUUGUUUAGAUUUUUUCUUUUUUUCUGGAUUUAUUUUGUAGAAGCUGCAGAUAGGCUACUUAUGACUGUUUACACGGCUUUUUAAAACUACACUAGGAUCAACAGGGAGAAGCCAAUCAAAAGACUAAAUAAUAAUCAUAGGAACCUGAGGAAGGACUCUACACACGUCACAGCAUAUCAAAAACAAAUCAACUGGUUUCAACUCGUUGAUUCUUUUUAUACUCCAACUUUUCUUUGUUUUGGUUGAGUUGUAAUAAUGUCAAUCACAGCCCUGGAGGCACUUGCAGGAAAAGUGCAUUUAAUACACAAAAACAUAAAAAGAAAAAAGAAAAAAACCUACUUGUACACAAAAAGGGAUGUUUUGAUUUAAACAUUUCCAGUCUACGAAGUUGCUUUGUAAUAUAUUUCAUAUAUUUUGAUGUGCAUUAUUACUCUAUUGUAGUCGUUGAGUACUUCUACAUGUGUUGUUUAUACUAGUGAGACGAGUUUGAGCAUCCCCACGAUGAUUGUUGAUGUAUUUUGUAAUGUUUGGAAUGUUUUUUUCUUGGUUGUGCCAUGUUUUUAAUAAGAUCAUAGUUAAGACACCCAACCUCGAAUUAGGGCAAACUGACUCGUGAAUCGUCGCGUCAUGUCAUCUUAAAGUGCCCCGAUUAGCUACAGUACAUGUGUAUGUGCAUUGCUGUUCUUUGCAUUAACUACCAAAGCUUUAUUUUUAUGAAUGUGUCCGUGGCUACUUUAGCUCCGCCCACCCAACCUGUACAAAGCUUAUUUACAAAAGUACAUAUUUCACUGGGCCGUUGUAGCCGCCUGGUUCUGUCUGUCUUGUUGGAAAUCCCAGUGAUACGAGCAGAACUGUGUCAGGAACAGAGCGAUGUGACACACCGCUUCAGAUGUUCAGCUGAAUCGUCUGUGAGUCAAAAACAGUGUUCAUGCCGGUGGUUCUCAAACCGGGAGUGGGAACAUCUGAGGGGGGGUAUGUUUAAAAUUGAAUGACUCUGAUUCAUGAUGGUUACAAUAACCAAACAAGAGUGCUGUGAUGCUAGCAAGGCCUUCAACAUUCAGGUCAACAAGAUUUAUUCACGCAGCAAAAAACGAUGUGUCAAGUACAAGCUGGCCUGUUGUUGUGCAUGAAAAAGAAAAGAGAGAGAAACAUGCACAGAAAGAAAAAGGCAGACCAUGUUGUUAUUGGAGUGAAGUUCAAAUUGGCUCAUUUUGUUACUAGUUUUAUUAACAUGAAGUGAAUUUAUUUCACCUUGGGAUGUGACAGAAGAAGUUUGAGAACCACCCGGUAUAUUGACACACUUCAUAUUCUCACCAAACUCGAGUGCUGCUAGAAAUCCUGAGCUCCCUGACAAAAAGCUCAGCGCUGCCAGAUGAGGCGGUUUUCUAUUCAAUGGUUGCAGAUAAAAACGGUUUUGUGCAGCUUGUGAUAAUUCGAAAUACUUUUUGUACUGUUUGGGUGGUUUCUUCUAACAAAAAGCUAAGCUAUAACCCAAUGAAUCAGCCUCUUUUGACUUGGUUCACCUAAUUAUAAAACAGAAAAACCUCAACAAACAUCUGAAUUGGGCACGUUUGAGGCUCUGAUUGAGCUCCUUGGUUGGUAGUCAAAUAUAUUAUUAUAAUAAAAUAGCAUUCAGGUCUCUUUAACAGUAAAUAUCUCUAACCUGUGACGUGUUUCACAGCUCCUGUGUCAGUCCGGUUUCACCACAUUCAGCAUUCCUGUUACCAGAUACAUGUUGUUUGUCUCUAAUGUUCAAUGUCGCCUCAUUUUAACACUUUUUAAAAAAUUAUUUCAGGUGUUUGUUAAUCUAUUAAUCUUAAAUACGUUAGUAACAAUCAGGAAAAAAAAUGUGCCGUACAUCUGACAUCCACUGUCUGCCUCCACGGCUUCUUUUAAACCAGCGGCUCACACUCUGACAGCUGUUUGUUUUAGUUUGAAAGUGUGUCGCUGCUGCUGUUGAAGGGCCCCCUCUGGCUUUCAGAGAAAAGGAUGCUAAAUCUAAUGCUGGUGUGUGUGUGUUUGACUUUCUCUUCCUGUUCGACCCCCUCACUCUGCUCUCUGCUCUGCUGUUCCUCCCUGUGGCUACACCACGUCACCACCAGCCAGUCAUGAGACAAAGCCCAGAGUUACAAGACAAAAUGUGUUACACAAAGUCCUGUUUCUUCUACUUCUUGUUUUUCCCGUAGCGGCUUAAAAGGACUGAAAAGCUUCUGUGUGUCGAUGAGGUUAAUGUGAAGUUGGAAAGCUAGAAAUUAAAACAAAUGUGUUGUACUUGUUAGAAUAUAGAAGACGGGUAGCUUCCCUAUCCAUUUAAAUACACUGGACACGUGCCAUGUAAGUGUAUAGGGGCAUAAAACAUCUCUCACACACACACACACACACACACACACACACACACAUUGCCUCUCUCUCUCUCUCUCUCGUGUCAGAGAGCACAACACUACAGCAGAUAGUUUUGUAAAAAGGCUCUGUUGUCUUGCCUGCAUGCUGCUUUUGUUCUACAUUGUACAUAGACCUUAAUUUAUUUGACAUGAUGUGUAUAUUAGCGAUCAUUGGAGCCACCGUGACAAUGAUCGAUUUCAUACGUUGCCAUUUUUGCUCCGAGACAAACAGUAUUUUUUAGGUGAUGAGGAGCUUUUUUUUUCUUUUUCUUUGAUUGGUCACAAUCCUGCACUCUUUUUUCAUGUGUAAAUCUGUUUAAAAUGUGUUUGUAUAAAAAAUAGCAAGAAAAAAAAUCCAUAGAACUGGAGAAUGUGAUUGGUUGUAUCUCGUUGGUGAUUCCUUCUUCUUUCAAGACUCCGUCAUCUCCGGAGAGGUUUUUUGCGUCCAGGGCUCAUGGAGGAGGUGGGGGAACAAAAAAUAAAUUAAAAAAGGGGGGUGGAGGGGGGCAGAUUACUGUGUCCUGAAGCUGUAAUACUGUUUGUACAUUUGUGAAUGUGCAUGAAAAUAUUGUGGACGUUACAUCUGUUGUUAUAAACUGCCCUGCUGACAGAAGCACUUUGACAUACUGUAGGGCACAGGAACAGAGAGGACCCUCGCCAUAUAACUAAAAACUGUUCAACUGAUCCCAGAUCUGCCUGAGCUUCACUUUGAAUACCUCUGACGCAGAUUUAGGAUCUUUUUAUUUGCUCGCUGAAAGCAUUUUUGACAUGCUUCGAAACAAAUGUUUUAGUGACCAGUGUCUGCUCGAAGAUGUUCAGUAACCCACUGACGCAAAACAAAAGAAAAACAGGGUUCGUUCUGUACAGUUUGCGUUUGACGAGACGAUGAAGGUGACAAAGCCCCGUUGUGACAUCCCGUUUUUGUCAUGGGUGUAAAAAUCGAAAAUGGUUUUGUUUUCACUGCUUGCUGAAACCCCCCAUGAUGUUAAAGUGCUUGACGUGUGCAUCCCUCGCCUUCCUUCCUCCCCUCUCUCGAUGUUGUUCGUGACCUUUCUCUAAUCUAGCUGAAUGUGAUAGUACCUGUAGUUUGGUAGAUGGAUGUUCUACUUUGAUAAGAUACAAAAAAAAAAAAAGAAUAAUAAUAGGAUAAAUACAUUGUGGCUAAAUGUGAUUUUAAGAGACAUAAAGAAAGGAAAAUGUCUUACAGUCUGAACCAUCCUCCCCCUCGAGUCCCUUUUACAGAGUAGUUUGUACAUGUCAAGUGUAUAACACCGUUCCAUGAUGGUUUUCCUGAUGGUAUUUGUAUUUCUGUAUACACUUUGGUGAUCCUGUCAUAUCUGGGUUUUAUAAACCACGAUUAUUUUUAAAACUC